rnacentral:miRNA from 1 species
CAGACAGCUGCGUGUCGUAA